rnacentral:SRP_RNA from 2 species
GCCGAGCUUGGUAGCGCAAGUUUGUGACCCAAGUGAGGGCAUUAUGGUGAUGGAAUGGUAAUCUUACUCACCGAGUCAGAUCCUAGGAGAUCAUGUGACUGGCCUGCCCAUUCCAAGCUUGGAGUUGAACUGUGAGACUUGAGCGAAGGCUAUGAGUCUCGUGGCUCUUAAGAGUGUAGGGCACCGCGUGAGGCUGGUUUCACAGAGCAGUGAAGAUUUCCGGCUCUUGGCAGUGGAAGGACAACAGGCCGGUGCUGCUUGGAUCCGAUAUGGCUUAGUGGGCUGAUCGUAACUGGACGACCACCUUU